UACGUAGGUGGCAAGCGUUGUCCGGAUUUAUUGGGCGUAAAGGGGGCGCAGGCGGUUUCUUAAGUCUGAUGUGAAAGCCCACGGCUCAACCGUGGAAGGUCAUUGGAAACUGGGGAACUUGAGUGCAGAAGAGGAGAGUGGAAUUCCAUGUGUAGCGGUGAAAUGCGUAGAUAUAUGGAGGAACACCAGUGGCGAAAGCGGCUCUUUGGCUCGCAACUGACGCUGAGGCGCGAAAGCGUGGGGAGUAAACAGG
rnacentral:rRNA from 1 species